CAAUGUUUUGUUCCGUAUUGAUUUCCGGUUCGGCGAAAUCACGGAUGAAAAGGGAAUCGGGUGAAAGUCCCGGACAGUCCCGCUGCUGUAAGCUCCAGACAUUUACGUUUGUCUACCCUCUGCAAGGCCACUGUCUUUUAAAUGAAGAUGGGAAGGCAAGACAAACGGGAGUAAGUCAGAAGACCUGCAAAACAAAGUCAUGCUUG
rnacentral:ncRNA from 2 species